AGCGCAUCUUGGCCUUUUGGCUAAGAUCAAGUGUAGUAUCUGUUCUUAUCACUUUAAUAUCUGAUAACAUCCUCUAUCCAAGGACAAUAUGUUAAAUGGAUUUUUGGAAUUAGGAGAUGAAAUAGGAGUUUGCUCCGUCCACUCCACGCAUUGACCUGGUACUGCAGUAUCUCCAGGAACAGUGCAUCCCCU
rnacentral:snRNA from 1 species